CUUGCAUUAAUGAGAACAGGAACAGAAACUAUGACCUAGGGGUUCCUGUUGGAUAGUUAGCAAU
rfam:Myotis davidii contig205631, whole genome shotgun sequence.